rnacentral:rRNA from 1 species
GAUGAACGCUGGCGGCGUGCCUAAUACAUGCAAGUCGAGCGAACAGACGAGGAGCUUGCUCCUCUGACGUUAGCGGCGGACGGGUGAGUAACACGUGGAUAACCUACCUAUAAGACUGGGAUAACUUCGGGAAACCGGAGCUAAUACCGGAUAAUAUAUUGAACCGCAUGGUUCAAUAGUGAAAGACGGUUUUGCUGUCACUUAUAGAUGGAUCCGCGCCGCAUUAGCUAGUUGGUAAGGUAACGGCUUACCAAGGCAACGAUGCGUAGCCGACCUGAGAGGGUGAUUGGACACACUGGAACUGAGACACGGCCCAGACUCCUACGGGAGGCAGCAGUAGGGAAUCUUACGCAAUGGGCGAAAGCUUGACGGAGCAACGCCGCGUGAGUGAUGAAGGUCUUCGGAUCGUAAAACUCUGAUAUUAGGGAAGAACAAAUGUGUAAGUAACUAUGCACGUCUUGACGGUACCUAAUCAGAAAGCCACGGCUAACUACGUG